rnacentral:lncRNA from 1 species
GCUCCCCAGCAAUGUCUCCACCACUGCUGCUGCUACCCUUGCUGCUGCUGCUGCCUCUGCUGAAUGUGGAGCCUGCUGGGGCCACACUGAUCCGGAUCCCUCUUCGUCAAGUCCACCCUGGACGCAGGACCCUGAACCUACUGAGGGGAUGGGGAAAACCAGCAGAGCUCCCCAAGUUGGGGGCCCCAUCCCCUGGGGACAAGCCUGCCUCGGUACCUCUCUCCAAAUUCCUGGAUGCCCAGUAUUUUGGGGAAAUUGGGCUGGGAACGCCUCCACAAAACUUCACUGUUGCCUUUGACACUGGCUCCUCCAAUCUCUGGGUCCCGUCCAGGAGAUGCCACUUCUUCAGUGUGCCCUGCUGGUUCCACCACCGCUUCAAUCCCAAUGCCUCCAGCUCCUUCAAGCCCAGUGGGACCAAGUUUGCCAUUCAGUAUGGAACUGGGCGGGUAGAUGGAAUCCUGAGUGAGGACAAGCUGACUAUUGGUGGAAUCAAGGGUGCAUCCGUGAUUUUCGGGGAAGCUCUGUGGGAAUCCAGCCUGGUCUUCACUGUUUCCCGCCCCGAUGGGAUAUUGGGCCUCGGUUUUCCCAUUCUGUCUGUGGAAGGAGUUCGGCCCCCGCUGGAUGUACUGGUGGAGCAGGGGCUAUUGGAUAAGCCUGUCUUCUCCUUUUACUUCAACAGGGACCCUGAAGUGGCUGAUGGAGGAGAGCUGGUCCUGGGGGGCUCAGACCCGGCACACUACAUCCCACCCCUCACCUUCGUGCCAGUCACAGUCCCCGCCUACUGGCAGAUCCACAUGGAGCGUGUGAAGGUGGGCUCACGGCUGACUCUCUGUGCCCAGGGCUGUGCUGCCAUCCUGGAUACAGGCACACCUGUCAUCGUAGGACCCACUGAGGAGAUCCGGGCCCUGCAUGCAGCCAUUGGGGGAAUCCCCUUGCUGGCUGGGGAGGUGAGGUCCCAGUCUCUGGUGGGUGUGUCCUGGGGAAGAUGAUGGCAAUUCCAUGGCGAACACUGCGGCCUGAGGAUGGGAAGCAGGUAGCUAGAGCGUAUCCAGGACAGAGGGGACUGGGCUUCUUAAGUGACAUGCCAGAGAGUGGUGGGAGGAAGCAAAGAUACUUCCCAAGUGUCUAUGCUAAGUGGCUCAGUGGAUGGUGAAG